UACAGAGGGUGCAAACGUUGUUCGGAAUCACUGGGCGUAAAGCGCACGUAGGCGGAUUGCUAAGUCAGGGGUGAAAUCCUGGAGCUCAACUCCAGAACUGCCUUUGAUACUGGCGACCUUGAGUCCGGGAGAGGUGAGUGGAACUGCGAGUGUAGAGGUGAAAUUCGUAGAUAUUCGCAAGAACACCAGUGGCGAAGGCGGCUCACUGGCCCGGUACUGACGCUGAGGUGCGAAAGCGUGGGGAGCAAACAGG
rnacentral:rRNA from 1 species